rnacentral:rRNA from 1 species
UUUGAAGGGGACCUGUCCGUAGUACGAGAGGACCCGGACAGACGAACCUCUGGUGUUCCAGUUGUCGCGCCAGCGGCAGGUGCUGGGUAGCUAUGUUCGGAAAGGAUAAGCGCUGAAUGCAUCUAAGCGCCAAGCCUCCUCUAAGAUGAGAUAUCCCUACUGAGUAAUCAGUACUGAAGACACCUUGAAGACUACAAGGUUGAUAGGCCAGGUGUGUAAGUGCAGUAAUGUAUUGAGCUAACUGGUACUAAUCAGUCGUGCGCCUUAAUCGA